UGUAGCUCAGCAGUAGAGCGCUUGCCUAGCAUGUGAAAGGUCCUGGGUUUGAUCCCCAGCA
rnacentral:tRNA from 1 species